UACAGAGGUCCCAAGCGUUGUUCGGAUUCACUGGGCGUAAAGGGUGCGCAGGUGGCAUGGCAAGUUUGAUGUGAAAGCUCAGGGCUCAACCCUGAAAUGGCAUUGAAUACUGCUGUGCUGGAGGUUUGGAGGGGGGACUGGAAUUCUUGGUGUAGCAGUGAAAUGCGUAGAUAUCAGGAGGAAUACCGAUGGCGAAGGCAGGUCUCUGGGCUGACACUGACGCUCAUGCACGAAAGCGUGGGGAGCAAACAGG
rnacentral:rRNA from 1 species